AGAGUUUGAUCAUGGCUCAGGACGAACGCUGGCGGCGUGCCUAAUACAUGCAAGUUGAGCGAUGAAGAUUGGUGCUUGCACCAAUUUGAAGAGCAGCGAACGGGUGAGUAACGCGUGGGGAAUCUGCCUUUGAGCGGGGGACAACAUUUGGAAACGAAUGCUAAUACCGCAUAACAACUUUAAACAUAAGUUUUAAGUUUGAAAGAUGCAAUUGCAUCACUCAAAGAUGAUCCCGCGUUGUAUUAGCUAGUUGGUGAGGUAAAGGCUCACCAAGGCGAUGAUACAUAGCCGACCUGAGAGGGUGAUCGGCCACAUUGGGACUGAGACACGGCCCAAACUCCUACGGGAGGCAGCAGUAGGGAAUCUUCGGCAAUGGACGAAAGUCUGACCGAGCAACGCCGCGUGAGUGAAGAAGGUUUUCGGAUCGUAAAACUCUGUUGGUAGAGAAGAACGUUGGUGAGAGUGGAAAGCUCAUCAAGUGACGGUAACUACCCAGAAAGGGACGGCUAACUACGUGCCAGCAGCCGCGGUAAUACGUAGGUCCCGAGCGUUGUCCGGAUUUAUUGGGCGUAAAGCGAGCGCAGGUGGUUUAUUAAGUCUGGUGUAAAAGGCAGUGGCUCAACCAUUGUAUGCAUUGGAAACUGGUAGACUUGAGUGCAGGAGAGGAGAGUGGAAUUCCAUGUGUAGCGGUGAAAUGCGUAGAUAUAUGGAGGAACACCGGUGGCGAAAGCGGCUCUCUGGNCUGUAACUGACACUGANGCUCGAAAGCGUGGGGAGCAAACAGGANUAGAUACCCUGG
rnacentral:rRNA from 1 species